rnacentral:rRNA from 1 species
GAUGAACGCUGGCGGCGUGCCUAAUACAUGCAAGUCGAGCGAACGGACGAGAAGCUUGCUUCUCUGAUGUUAGCGGCGGACGGGUGAGUAACACGUGGAUAACCUACCUAUAAGACUGGGAUAACUUCGGGAAACCGGAGCUAAUACCGGAUAAUAUUUUGAACCGCAUGAUUCAAAAGUGAAAGACGGUCUUGCUGUCACUUAUAGAUGGAUCCGCGCUGCAUUAGCUAGUUGGUAAGGUAACGGCUUACCAAGGCAACGAUGCAUAGCCGACCUGAGAGGGUGAUCGGCCAAACUGGAACUGAGACACGGUCCAGACUCCUACGGGAGGCAGCAGUAGGGAAUCUUCCGCAAUGGGCGAAAGCCUGACGGAGCAACGCCGCGUGAGUGAUGAAGGUCUUCGGAUCGUAAAACUCUGUUAUUAGGGAAGAACAUAUGUGUAAGUAACUGUGCACAUCUUGACGGUACCUAAUCAGAAAGCCACGGCUAACUACGUG